GUGAAUUUGUGGUACAUAUUGAAAAAGAUGACUUUUCGUGACUUAAAAUUUCGCAAUUCUGUCUAAAAGAGGCUUUAUUCUACGCAUUCCACAAGAGCAAUGGCAGGAAUCUACAGGGAAGGAUGACAAAAGUUGAGAGACUAUUCAUGCCAGGAGAGUCUACAGAGCUGGUUUGAAACCCAGGGAGCUACAGAAUUGAGCUAGCCUGGAGAGACGUGACGGGGAGAUUUCACAUACAGAAUUGAGCUAGCCUGGAGAGACGUGACGGGGAGAUUUCACAUACAGAAUUGAGCUAGCCUGGAGAGACGUGACGGGGAGAUUUCACAUACAGAAUUGAGCUAGCCUGGAGAGACGUGACGGGGAGAUUUCACAUACAGAAUUGAGCUAGCCUGGAGAGAUGUGACGGGGAGAUUUCACAUACAGAAUUGAGCUAGCCUGGAGAGACAUGACGGGGAGAUUUCACAUACAGAAUUGAGCUAGCCUGGAGAGACAUGACGGGGAGAUUUCACAUACAGAAUUGAGCUAGCCUGGAGAGACAUGAGGGGGAGAUUUCACAUUCUGAACUUUUUAAUUUCACACUACAUAAUGUUGAAUUCAGAAACCUUUCACGUCACAUGAAAUGAUGCUAUGUAUAAUCUAUUGUUUUCAUGCAGAUUUGAAUUUCCCCGACUUUUUUUUGUGUGCAGUGAUUCAGAAACAUAGUACAAUAAAAAUGAAAACCCAAA